CUUAUCACAGCCCUUUAAACUUUCCCGGUGUAAUAAUUGGUUGUAUUCAUGUCCGAUCUCCAGCCGGAAAAUAUCGCCAUCUGGACACAAUAUUUCGGCGAUCCUCCUGGCCACCAUCUUCAGAUAUGCUUUGACGGGAUGUAAAUUUGAUAUCAAUGGGGACAAAACAUUAUUUACUCCAAUAAUCCUUCCUAUAAACCGAAAAUGAUCUAAUGUGGAGGCUCUCUCAUAGAUGAUGUAUCGCUGGACAUCUACCACCUCCCGGCAGAAGAAACUAACUCACACAUUCGAUUCUCCAUGAUGCAGGCGAUACAAUGUCUUAUACAUCUGAGCAGCAGCAGCAACAGCAGAUAUCAAGUCAGCACAUAGGCACACAUACCAUGAUUCAGAUCCCUACAUGCUGGAGUGAAAAU